rnacentral:rRNA from 1 species
AUUGAACGCUGGCGGCAGGCCUAACACAUGCAAGUCGAACGAGUGGCGGACGGGUGAGUAAUGUCUGGGAAACUGCCCGAUGGAGGGGGAUAACUACUGGAAACGGUAGCUAAUACCGCAUACCAUCGGAUGUUCCCAGAUGGGAUUAGCUAGUAGGUGGGGUAACGGCUCACCAAGGCGACGAUCCAUAGUUGGUCUGCGAGGAUGACCAGCCACAAUGGAACUGAGACACGGUCCAGACUCCGACGGGAGGAAGCAGUGGGGAAUAUUGCACAAUGGGAGCAAGCCUGAUGCAGCGAUGCCGCGUGUAUGAUGAAGGCCUUCGGGUUGUAAAGUACUUUCAGCGGGGAGGCGUUACUCGCAGAAGAAGCACCGGCGAACUCCGUGCCAGCAGCCGCGGUAAUAC